rnacentral:rRNA from 1 species
UACGGAGGGUGCAAGCGUUAUCCGGAUUUACUGGGUUUAAAGGGUGCGUAGGAGGGCAGGUAAGUCAGUGGUGAAAUCUCCGAGCUUAACUCGGAAACUGCCGUUGAUACUAUCUGUCUUGAAUACCGUGGAGGUGAGCGGAAUAUGUCAUGUAGCGGUGAAAUGCUUAGAUAUGACAUAGAACACCAAAUUGCGAAGGCAGCUCACUACACGAGCAUUGACUCUGAGGCACGAAAAGCGUGGGGGAUCAAACAGG